rnacentral:rRNA from 1 species
CGGGGAAAGGAUUUAUCGCCAUUAGAGCGGCCCGCGUCUGAUUAGCUAGUUGGUGAGGUAAAGGCUCACCAAGGCUACGAUCAGUAGCUGGUCUGAGAGGAUGACCAGCCACAUUGGGACUGAGACACGGCCCAAACUCCUACGGGAGGCAGCAGUGGGGAAUCUUGCGCAAUGGGCGAAAGCCUGACGCAGCCAUGCCGCGUGAAUGAUGAAGGUCUUAGGAUUGUAAAAUUCUUUCACCGGGGACGAUAAUGACGGUACCCGGAGAAGAAGCCCCGGCUAACUUCGUGCCAGCCGCCGCGGUAAUU